rnacentral:tmRNA from 1 species
GGGGGCGUAAUGGUUUCGACGGGAUUGUUGAAACCGGAGUAGCGGGUAGAGGAUUCUCGUGGGCCUCUUUAAAAAACGGGAAAAUAAAUAUAAACGCUAAAAACGAUAAUUU